rnacentral:lncRNA from 1 species
UGAGGUUCCGAGUCUAGUACCUCAUGAUCCAGGUUUUAAUCUCUUAACUUGCUGGCUUUUCCUGGUCCAGUAAAAUACAGUUCUCUAAGAUUCAACUACAAAGAAAGAAUUAUGAACGGAAGCUCUACUACUUCAUAAAGAAGAAGAGGCCUUGAUUAAUAAAUAACCUGACACCCUUCAGAUGUUGCACAGGGAAAAACGGAGUGCCCCAAUUUCUGGGAGUCACUGUACUUCACUUACCCUGGGGCCUGUUUUACAGGCAUUUGCCUGCUUAGUUAAUUGUAGUUAUUCCCAAAAUAAACCCCAUUUUGUGUGGGACUCUUCUAUUCUGAGGGAAUGAUGUAAGCAAGAAUAUUGGCUGGAGUAUCUUGAAUAUCUGUGAUGGAUGGCUCCUCAGAAUGAAUCCUAAAUCUCCAAGGGACCCCUUUUAUCUUGUGAUUUUGCUCACAGGUUCUAAGCUGCUGCUGGGAAGGGUUCCAGUUCUAUAUUCUCUGUCUUCUGGAAGCACUGAUGAAAUCACUCAGCUGCUAUCCGCUUCCAUCUCUCACUAAGCACCUCUUGGCUCUCCUUCGUCCCCACAGACUGAAAGCAUGGAGGUGACUAAUGAGAUGUGUCUUCCCCUUCAAAUUGUUCACAAGUCCCACAUGACCUUUGGCAGGCAGGGGUUCUACCGUGGUGCUUCUGACUGUGGAUAAGGGGAAACUACGUGCUCACCACGGCUUGCUAUUUCUCCUUGCUCCCGUGACCAGUGCGGCAGCUCUGUUAAAUGGUCAGGCACGGUUUGUUGGUGGCUCCCAAACAAUCCAUCAGCAGUGGACGCAUUAUAGAAAACAUGGCUUUGAGUCUUAGCUUAAACUAUAUUUAUGUAGCGUGACAGUAGGAGAAAUAUCUAAUCGUGCUUGGAUUACAAUUCAAACAAAGGCCUCAUGA